GGUGAACGCUGGCGGCGUGCCUAAUACAUGCAAGUCGAGCGAACAGACGAGGAGCUUGCUCCUCUGACGUUAGCGGCGGACGGGUGAGUAACACGUGGAUAACCUACCUAUAAGACUGGGAUAACUUCGGGAAACCGGAGCUAAUACCGGAUAAUAUAUUGAACCGCAUGGUUCAAUAGUGAAAGACGGUUUUGCUGUCACUUAUAGAUGGAUCCGCGCCGCAUUAGCUAGUUGGUAAGGUAACGGCUUACCAAGGCAACGAUGCGUAGCCGACCUGAGAGGGUGAUCGGCCACACUGGAACUGAGACACGGUCCAGACUCCUACGGGAGGCAGCAGUAGGGAAUCUUCCGCAAUGGGCGAAAGCCUGACGGAGCAACGCCGCGUGAGUGAUGAAGGUCUUCGGAUCGUAAAACUCUGUUAUUAGGGAAGAACAAAUGUGUAAGUAACUAUGCACGUCUUGACGGUACCUAAUCAGAAAGCCACGGCUAACUAUGUG
rnacentral:rRNA from 1 species